UAAGUAAAAAGCUGUGGUACAUCAGCACAAUGGCAUACUAUGCUGCUGUAAAAAAAGAACUCUUUCGCGAAGGCCCGCGGCGGGUGUUGAUGCAAUGUGAUUUCUGCCCAGUGCUCUGAAUGUCAAAGUGAAGAAAUUCAAUGAAGCGCGGGUAAACGGCAGGAGUAACUAUGACUCUCCUACAGUAGCCAAAUGCCUCAUCAUCUAAUUAGACGCACAUGUGAAUGGAUGAACAAGAUUCCCACUGUCCCUACCUACUAUCCAGUGAAACCACAGCCAAGGGAAUGGGCUUGG
rnacentral:ncRNA from 1 species